CAGCAGCCGCGGUAAUACGGAGGGGGCUAGCGUUGUUCGGAAUUACUGGGCGUAAAGCGCACGUAGGCGGCUUGGUAAGUUAGAGGUGAAAGCCUGGAGCUCAACUCCAGAAUUGCCUUUAAGACUGCCGAGCUAGCAGGUGAGAGAGGUAAGUGGAACUCCGAGUGUAGAGGUGAAAUUCGUAGAUAUUCGGAAGAACACCAGUGGCGAAGGCGGCUUACUGGCUCAUACUGGACGCUGAGGUGCGAGAGCGUGGGGAGCAAACAGGAUUAGAUACCCCCGUAGUCCCUGUCUCUUAUAC
rnacentral:rRNA from 1 species